GAGUUUGAUCGUGGCUCAGAUUGAACGCUGGCGGCAGGCCUAACACAUGCAAGUCGAGCGGAUGAAGGGAGCUUGCUCCUGGAUUCAGCGGCGGACGGGUGAGUAAUGCCUAGGAAUCUGCCUGGUAGUGGGGGAUAACGUCCGGAAACGGGCGCUAAUACCGCAUACGUCCUGAGGGAGAAAGUGGGGGAUCUUCGGACCUCACGCUAUCAGAUGAGCCUAGGUCGGAUUAGCUAGUUGGUGGGGUAAAGGCCUACCAAGGCGACGAUCCGUAACUGGUCUGAGAGGAUGAUCAGUCACACUGGAACUGAGACACGGUCCAGACUCCUACGGGAGGCAGCAGUGGGGAAUAUUGGACAAUGGGCGAAAGCCUGAUCCAGCCAUGCCGCGUGUGUGAGAAGGUCUUCGGAUUGUAAAGCACUUUAAGUUGGAGGAAGGGCAGUAAGUUAUACUUGCUGUUUGCGUUACCAACAGAUAAGCA
rnacentral:rRNA from 1 species